rnacentral:rRNA from 1 species
AACGAACGCUGGCGGCAUGCCUAACACAUGCAAGUCGAACGAACCCUUCGGGGUGAGUGGCGCACGGGUGCGUAACACGUGGGAACCUGCCCUUGGGUUCGGAAUAACAGUUAGAAAUGACUGCUAAUACCGGAUAAUGUCUUCGGACCAAAGAUUUAUCGCCUUUGGAUGGGCCCGCGUAGGAUUAGCUAGUUGGUGAGGUAAAGGCUCACCAAGGCGACGAUCCUUAGCUGGUCUUAGAGGAUGAUCAGCCACACUGGGACUGAGACACGGCCCAGACUCCUACGGGAGGCAGCAGUGGGGAAUAUUGGACAAUGGGCGAAAGCCUGAUCCAGCAAUGCCGCGUGAGUGAUGAAGGCCUUAGGGUUGUAAAGCUCUUUUACCUGGGAUGAUAAUGACAGUACCAGGAGAAUAAGCCCCGGCUAACUCCGUGCCAGCAGCCGCCGUAA